rnacentral:rRNA from 1 species
GACGAACGCUGGCGGCAUGCUUUACACAUGCAAGUCGAACGGUAACAGGCCGCAAGGUGCUGACGAGUGGCGAACGGGUGAGUAAUGCAUCGGAACGUGCCCAGUCGUGGGGGAUAACGCAGCGAAAGCUGCGCUAAUACCGCAUACGAUCUCUGGAUGAAAGCGGGGGACCGGAAGGCCUCGCGCGAUUGGAGCGGCCGAUGACAGAUUAGGUAGUUGGUGGGGUAAAGGCCCACCAAGCCAACGAUCUGUAGCUGGUCUGAGAGGACGACCAGCCACACUGGGACUGAGACACGGCCCAGACCCCUACGGGAGGCAGCAGUGGGGAAUUUUGGACAAUGGGCGCAAGCCUGAUCCAGCAAUGCCGCGUGCAGGAAGAAGGCCUUCGGGUUGUAAACUGCUUUUGUACGGAACGAAACGGUCCGGGUUAAUACCCUGGGCUAAUGACGGUACCGUAAGAAUAAGCACCGGCUAACUACGUGCCAGCCGCCGCCGUAA